AUACGGAGGAUGCGAGCGUUAUCCGGAUUUAUUGGGUUUAAAGGGUGCGUAGGCGGUCGGGUAAGCGUAGGGUGAAAGUCCUCUGCUCAACAGAGGAAGUGCCUUCCGAACUGUCCGACUGGAAUGCUCCUGCCGUGGGAGGAAUGUGUGGUGUAGCGGUGAAAUGCAUAGAGAUCACACAGAACACCGAUUGCGAAGGCAUCUCACGAAGGGGCUAUUGACGCUGAGGCACGAAAGCGUGGGGAUCAAACAGGGUUAGAUACCCUGGUAGUCCACGCAGUAAACGAUGAUGACUAACCGUCGGUCAAGACUGAUCGGUGGCCAAGCGAAAGCGAUAAGUCAUCCACCUGGGGAGUACGACCGCAAGGUUGAAACUCAAAUGAAUUGACGGGG
rnacentral:rRNA from 1 species